UACGUAGGGUGCAAGCGUUGUCCGGAAUUAUUGGGCGUAAAGAGCUCGUAGGCGGUUUGUUGCGUCGACUGUGAAAUCCCGAGGCUCAACCUCGGGUCUGCAGUCGAUACGAGCAAACUAGAGUGUUGCAGGGGAGACUGGAAUUCCUGGUGUAGCGGUGAAAUGCGCAGAUAUCAGGAGGAACACCGGUGGCGAAGGCGGGUCUCUGGGCAACAACUGACGCUGAGGAGCGAAAGCGUGGGGAGCGAACAGG
rnacentral:rRNA from 1 species